rnacentral:lncRNA from 7 species
AGUUAUCUGUGGGGGAGCUGGAAGGUCUGGCCAGGAAACCUUCAAGUAGGAGCACUUUCCCUUCUAAGCAGACCCAGGAGAAAAUGCAGUGGGAGAGAAGAUCCACUCUUCUGAGGACAGAGUCCUUGGCCAACGUUGAGUGAAUCCUGCUGCAACAUAGGACAGUGGUCAUCAUUGUCAUUGUUAUACUGGCCUCCAAAACCCAGAGUCCUGCUCUAGAUGGUUCUGCUACUAACGAGGAUGAUGCAAGGAUGGAGAAAAUUGGGUGUUGGAUGGAACUGGUGACCACCAGGGCUUCACUUCUCAUCUCUGCUGACGCGCCCUAAAACCGGGCUCCCCUCCAGUGCGUUUGGAGCAGCAGUGCUGACAACGUUAGGCUGAACCCUCCAUCCACCACUGAGGAAAACACACAGCGGAGGAAAGUCAGGUUCCAGAUUGCUCAGCAGAAAGGAGAAACCAGCUUGGAAGCCCCUCUGGAAGAAGGCCAGGCAGUAAUCUCACGGCGUGUGGGAAGAUCUGGAAAGGCUGAAAAACAUGGAGAGGAAAAAUGCAGCAAGCUCUUAUCAGAAAACAGGAACCUGUGAUGGUCAGCCCUUCACUGGAGAUAGAUCCCUCAGCACUGGCUUUGGGAAGCAGGACUUGGUGUGCUGUCAGCCCGGCGGAUGAGCAGUGGGUCAUGGCUGAGCAAGAGACAAAGGAAUGGCUGAGACAAAGAUCUGAGCUGGUGACGCAGCAAUGGAAUGAGUUCUAAAUUUUGCAACAAAAAACCAUAUUCCUCUCCUCACUUGCUAAGAAGUCAUCUGACUUGGAAGGAUAUUUCCUAGAGAGCAUGAGAACGUAGCAGAUCAACUCUGCAGAAAGGAAUGGCCUUCUUCCUUCAUGUUUUCCAUAAGAUCCUGGCCAAGUUGGCCAAUAACUAAGGCAAGGAACUGGGGGGAAAAAAAAGCCCCAUCCUGCUCCCCAGGCAGAGAGCAUUCGGACUUGUCUCAAGCACAGCUCCAGCCACACACCUGCGGGAUGGAAACAGGCAGAGCAAACAAUGAAGCAAGGCUGUUUAUAAAGCCUUCAACACGUCAGGCAGGGAGAAGAGCCCAAGUUUCCACGUCAAGGCCAAAACGGACCAGAAUGACGCGAAACACAUGGAAAAUAUGGAAAAUGUGGAAUAAGUAAUAAAAUUAUAAAUAAAACAAAUACAAUAAAUUG